UACAGAGGUCUCAAGCGUUGUUCGGAUUCAUUGGGCGUAAAGAGCUCGUAGGCGGUUCGAUAAGUCGGACGUGAAAUCUCCACGCUCAACGUGGAGGGGCCGUUCGAUACUGUCGUGACUCGAGUCCGGUAGGGGAGUGUGGAAUUCCCGGUGUAGCGGUGAAAUGCGCAGAGAUCGGGAGGAACACCCGUAGCGAAGGCGGCACUCUGGGCCGGUACUGACGCUGAGGAGCGAAAGCGUGGGGAGCAAACAGG
rnacentral:rRNA from 1 species